UGCCCAACGGCCUGGUCAAAAGUGGAC
rnacentral:piRNA from 1 species